rnacentral:rRNA from 1 species
UCGAGGAUCUUCGGCAAUGGGCGCAAGCCUGACCGAGCGACGCCGCGUGUGCGAAGAAGGCCUUCGGGUUGUAAAGCACUGUCGAGGGGGAGAAAGCCGCAAGGUUGAUCGACCCCUGGAGGAAGCACGGGCUAAGUUCGUGCCAGCAGCCGCGGUAAGACGAACCGUGCGAACGUUGUUCGGAUUCACUGGGCUUAAAGGGCGCGUAGGCGGGUGUUCAAGUCGGUGGUGAAAUCUUUCGGCCCAACCGGAAAAUCGCCUCCGAUACUGGAUCUCUCGAGGGGGGUAGGGGCAUGCGGAACUUCGGGUGGAGCGGUGAAAUGCGUAGAUAUCCGAAGGAACGCCGGUGGCGAAAGCGGCGUGCUGGACCCUUUCUGACGCUGAGGCGCGAAAGCCAGGGGAGCAAACGGGAUUAGAUACCCCCGUAGUCC